AUGUUGAUAUUUGAGCAGAUGAGAGCCAGUGUGGGCAAGCUGCUCAAGGGUAUCAACAGGAACAAUCCUGAGAAGCUGGCCACCCUGGAGUGCUAUGUGGAGAUGCAGGUCAAAGAGAAUGCCUAUGAUCUGGAAGCCAACCCAGCUCUCCUGAAGCUGUACCAGUCCAACCCAGCAUUUUUUCAGACCACUAUCACUGCCCAGAUCCAGCUGAAGGCCCUCACCAACCUGCCACAUACCAAAUUCAUGCUGUGCAAGUGCAUGAUUGGCCAGGCACAUCAAGAAGAGUGGCCAUCCGAUGCAUUUUGUACCUCAAGGACCUGGAGACCAGCCUCUUUCAGGCCUUCUGGCAAGCCUUGGAUGAAAACAUGGACCUCUUGUAAGGUAUAACUGGCUUUGAAGACUCUAUGCCUGGGUAUCUGUCGGACAGCCAACUGAAGGUGUGGAUGAGAAAAUACACCUGGAGUGCUGAUGAGUCAGGGCAGAUCUUCAUCUGUAGCCAGGAAGAGAACAUUAAGCCCAAGAACCUUGUGGAGAAGAUAGACUUUGACAGUGUGUCCAGCAUCAUGGCCUCCUUCCAGUAACUGCAGGUGUUUAAUAAAUAUUUGUUGACUUAA